rnacentral:rRNA from 1 species
CGAUGAACCACAUUUCGGUGGGGAUUAGUGGCGAACGGGUGAGUAACACGUGGGCAAUCUGCCCUGCACUCUGGGACAAGCCCUGGAAACGGGGUCUAAUACCGGAUAACAGCUUCCAUCGCAUGGUGGGGGUUUGAAAGCUCCGGCGGUGCAGGAUGAGCCCGCGGCCUAUCAGCUUGUUGGUGAGGUAGUGGCUCACCAAGGCGACGACGGGUAGCCGGCCUGAGAGGGCGACCGGCCACACUGGGACUGAGACACGGCCCAGACUCCUACGGGAGGCAGCAGUGGGGAAUAUUGCACAAUGGGCGCAAGCCUGAUGCAGCGACGCCGCGUGAGGGAUGACGGCCUUCGGGUUGUAAACCUCUUUCAGCAGGGAAGAAGCGAGAGUGACGGUACCUGCAGAAGAAGCGCCGGCUAACUACGUGCCAGCAGCCGCGGUAAUACGUAGGGCGCAAGCGUUGUCCGGAAUUAUUGGGCGUAAAGAGCUCGUAGGCGGCUUGUCGCGUCGGUUGUGAAAGCCCGGGGCUUAACCCCGGGUCUGCAGUCGAUACGGGCAGGCUAGAGUUCGGUAGGGGAGAUCGGAAUUCCUGGUGUAGCGGUGAAAUGCGCAGAUAUCAGGAGGAACACCGGUGGCGAAGGCGGAUCUCUGGGCCGAUACUGACGCUGAGGAGCGAAAGCGUGGGGAGCGAACAGGAUUAGAUACCCUGGUAGUCCACGCCGUAAACGGUGGGCACUAGGUGUGGGCAACAUUCCACGUUGUCCGUGCCGCAGCUAACGCAUUAAGUGCCCCGCCUGGGGAGUACGGCC